UACGUAGGGGGCAAGCGUUGUCCGGAAUCAUUGGGCGUCAAGCGCGCGUAGGCGGCCCGGUAAGUCCGUUGUGAAAGUCAAAGGCUCAACCUUUGAACGCCGAUGGAUACUGCCGGGCUAGAGUCCGGAAGAGGCGAGUGGAAUUCCUGGUGUAGCGGUGGAAUGCGCAGAUAUCAGGAGGAACACCAAUAGCGAAGGCAGCUCGCUGGGACGGUACUGACGCUGAGGCGCGAAAGCGUGGGGAGCGAACAGG
rnacentral:rRNA from 1 species